rnacentral:lncRNA from 1 species
GGACUAUAAGUCAUCUCAGUAGUUAUUAACAAGGUCACUGUGUAGAACACCACAUGGCUAUCUUUGACAAGGGGUGGCGGUUUUGAAGCGGAGAAAAAGCGUUCACGGUUAUGUUUUGGUCCAUUUAGACAUACAUGUGACUUCUUCAUGACCAUGAUAGUAACGUUAACUGAUAAGGAAUACAAAACAUAUUGGGGUAUAUAACAAAAUACUUACAGGCUUUUUCUCUAUUUCUCACAAAACAAAUGCACGUUACUUAAAAACUUUUGUGGCAGAGUCAUAUUUGAUUGAUAUAUUAAAAUAUUAUAUUGUUGAUUAUUAAUUUUAUUGCAGUGUUUGAUAGUUUAGUUACUCAUUGUUUCUAUUUCUAGCACUAUUGUUCUAGUAUUAUUCUCUUUUCCCUUUGGUGAACCUCUUUUCUUUCAUAUCAUUUUGGAGGGAAAAUUCUAACUUUUUGAUUGGUCAAUCUUCAGGCCAUAGGCCUUACUACAGGUUUUCAUUGUUUUUGGUAGAUUUUGACUGCAGACAUAUUGGAAUGCAGUGAAAAUUACCUGCUUGAUAUAUUCAACUCUGAUAUUCAUGAUAUUUAUAUUAUACUUCUUGGAUUUUCAAUAUUCUUAUAUUCAGGUCAGUUGAUUAACCUUAUUUCUAAUUAACAAACUAAUAGUAUGUCAUUUUAAUAGUUUGUGAAAUGAUUGAUUGUAUGUAUUGAAUGGAGGCUUUCGGGUCGAUCCGGCCCAAGUCGAUCCGU